UCUGAAGUCUGACGAGGAUGAGAACCUCCGGGGGCAAGAGGUUCGACCCGAGCGAAGCGAGAGAACGUUGCGUCAGCAACGGCCCGCAGGGCGAGCCAUCCUCUAUCACCG
rnacentral:sRNA from 1 species